rnacentral:lncRNA from 1 species
AUGGCUUUUAAAGACACCGGAAAACACCCACAGGGCCAGAGGUCGCAAUUCACCAAGUUCAAGUCUCCCUAAUGAGCCGCAACAUGCAAUCCUUGGAGAAGGUGUGUACUGACUUGACCAGAGCCGCAAAGGAAGGUCAUCUCCAAGUGAAAGGACUGGCCCAGCUGCCUCCCGAGCCUUUGAGAAGCACUACAGGAAAAACUCCUUGUGGCGAAGGCUCUUGACAUGGGCUUCCUUCCAGAGGAGAAUCCACCCGCAACCUACACACCUGCACAGCCCUCCUGAGACUGCCAAGUGGAUUAUUCUCAUCAGUGUGAGCCAGGAGUUGGGGUUGAAGUCACCAUUGCAGAU